CCUACGGGUGGCAGCAGUGGGGGAUAUUGCACAAUGGGGGAAACCCUGAUGCAGCGACGCCGCGUGUGGGAAGACGGUCCUCUGGAUUGUAAACCACUGUCCCCAGGGACGAAGAUGACGGUACCUGGGGAGGAAGCUCCGGCAAACUACGUGCCAGCAGCCGCGGUAAUACGUAGGGAGCGAGCGUUGUCCGGAAUUACUGGGUGAAAAGGGAGCGUAGGCGGGACUGCAAGUUGGGUGUCAAAUCUACCGGCUCAACCGGUAGCCGCACUUAAAACUGCAGUUCUUGAGUGAAGUAGAGGCAGGCGGAAUUCCUAGUGUAGCGGUGAAAUGCGUAGAUAUUAGGAGGAACACCAGUGGCGAAGGCGGCCUGCUGGGCUUUUACUGACGCUGAGGCUCGAAAGUGUGGGGAGCAAACAGGAUUAGAUACCCCAGUAGUC
rnacentral:rRNA from 1 species